CCUACGGGAGGCAGCAGUGAGGAAUAUUGGUCAAUGGGCGCGAGCCUGAACCAGCCAAGUAGCGUGAAGGAUGACUGCCCUACGGGUUGUAAACUUCUUUUAUAAAGGAAUAAAGUGAGGCACGUGUGCCUUUUUGUAUGUACUUUAUGAAUAAGGAUCGGCUAACUCCGUGCCAGCAGCCGAGGUAAUACGGUGGAUCCGAGCGUUAGCCGGAUUGAUUGGGUUUAAGGGGAGCGUAGAUGGGUUGUUAAGUCGGUUGUGAAAGUUUGCGGCUCAACCGUAAAAUUGCAUUUGAUAAUGGCAGCCUUGGGUACAGUUGGGGUAGGCGGAAUUCGUGGUGUAGCGUGAAAUGCUUAGAUAUCACGAAGAACUCCGAUUGCGAAGGCAGCUUACUAAACUGCCACUGACAUUGAUGCUCGAAAGUGUGGGUAUCAAACAGGAUUAGAUACCCCAGUAGUC
rnacentral:rRNA from 1 species